GGCGGCAUAGCCAAGUGGCUAAGGCACGGGUCUGCAAAACCCAGAUCCCCGGUUCGAAUCCGGGUGCCGCCU
rfam:Desulfurella acetivorans A63, complete genome.